ACGUGGCCACCUACAACCUGGAGAGCACCAGGGAGCAGAAGAAGAAAUACGUGUUCCAGCUGUGCCACCAGACGUACAAACCCUUUGUGUUCGCUGCUGAAACCCUGGCUGACCUGAGCAUGUGGGUCAGUCACCUGGUGACAGCCAAGACAAAGCACACGCUGGCCCAGCAGGCAAUGCCAGACAAGGAGGAAGACUGCUACAGUGAGACAGAAGCUGAGGACCCCGACGAUGAGGCCCCCAGGCACGGAUCUGACCCGGCAAGGAAGAGGCUGCAGAACAGCCAGGAGAAGGCACAGCUGUCCCCAGGCAGCAGCCCCCAGGGCAGCCCCCGGCCCUGC